UGAAAGGUCACUCAAAUCUUGCCUUUAUAUACCAUGAGUGUUCUCUUCCUCCUCAUUCUGCUCCUUAUCCAUCUCCACUUUCUCUUUUGAAAACUUCAAAAAACGUUUUCUGAAUUCUGUCCAGGACAUAUCCAGAAAGAGCAGGCACCAUUCAGAAAAUGCCACUUCUCUUUCAAUUGAUUUGACUUAAAGGUAGUACACAUAGGAUUAGCUCAUU
rnacentral:lncRNA from 1 species